GAUGAAGAACGUAGCGAAAUGCGAUAAGUAAUGUGAAUUGCAGAAUUCAGUGAAUCAUCGAAUCUUUGAACGCACAUUGCGCCCUCUGGUAUUCCGGGGGGCAUGCCUGUUCGAGCGUCAUUUCAACCAUCAAGCCCCCGGCUUGUGUUGGGGACCUGCGGCUGCCGCAGGCCCUGAAAAGCAGUGGCGGGCUCGCUGUCACACCGAGCGUAGUAGCAUACAUCUCGCUCUGGGCGUGCUGCGGGUUCCGGCCGUUAAACCCCCUUCAUAACCCAAGGUUGACCUCGGAUCAGGUAGGAAGACCCGCUGAACUUAAGCAUAUCAAUAAGCGGAGGA
rnacentral:misc_RNA from 1 species